rnacentral:rRNA from 1 species
GAUGAACGCUGGCGGCGUGCCUAAUACAUGCAAGUCGAGCGAACGGACGAGAAGCUUGCUUCUCUGAUGUUAGCGGCGGACGGGUAAGUAACACGUGGAUAACCUACCUAUAAGACUGGGAUAACUUCGGGAAACCGGAGCUAAUACCGGAUAAUAUUUUAAACCGCAUGGUUCAAAAGUGAAAGACGGUCUUGCUGUCACUUAUAGAUGGAUCCGCGCUGCAUUAGCUAGUUGGUAAGGUAACGGCUUACCAAGGCAACGAUGCAUAGCCGACCUGAGAGGGUGAUCGGCCACACUGGAACUGAGACACGGUCCAGACUCCUACGGGAGGCAGCAGUAGGGAAUCUUCCGCAAUGGGCGAAAGCCUGACGGAGCAACGCCGCGUGAGUGAUGAAGGUCUUCGGAUCGUAAAACUCUGUUAUUAGGGAAGAACAUAUGUGUAAGUAACUGUGCACAUCUUGACGGUACCUAAUCAGAAAGCCACGGCUAACUACGUG